AUAUAGUUGAACUCAACGCCUCUCUAUCAGAAAUGGACAGAUCCACAUCAUGAAGAGAUUUAUCAUUUGUCUGAUGUAUCU
ensembl:snoRNA